UUUGUACUCUCUCCGUCCAACAAAAAAUGUCUCAACUUUGACCAAAUUUGAAUGUAUCUAUACACUAAGUCAUGUCUAGAUACAUCCAAAUUUUGACAAAUUUGAGACAUCUUUUGUUGGACGGAGGGAGUAUUAA
rnacentral:pre_miRNA from 1 species